UCUUACAGUAAAGGUUAGAGUUUAUUCAUUGGAUGAAGACCUAAAGCCAGCCCAAAGAGAAGUCACCUUAACUUUUAUAGAUCCAGAAGGGUCAGAGGUUGCCAUGCUAGAGAAAACAAAUUACACUGGAAUUAUCACUUUUCCUGACUUCAGAAUUUCUUCUAAUCCUAAAUACGGUUUAUGGACAAUUAAAGCUAAAUACAAAGAGGACUUUACAACAACAGGGACUACAUAUUUUGAGAUUAAAAAUUAUGGUAAUUUCUUAUAAAUAAGAUUUCCAAUG